rnacentral:rRNA from 1 species
UUGGAUAACCGUGGUAAUUCUAGAGCUAAUACAUGCUAAAAACCCCAACUUCGGGAGGGGUGUAUUUAUUAGAUAAAAAACCAACGCCCUUCGGGGCUUCUUGGUGAUUCAUGAUAACUUCACGGAUCGCAUGGCCUUGCGCCGGCGACGGUUCAUUCAAAUUUCUGCCCUAUCAACUUUCGAUGGUAAGGUAUUGGCUUACCAUGGUUUCAACGGGUAACGGGGAAUUAGGGUUCGAUUCCGGAGAGGGAGCCUGAGAAACGGCUACCACAUCCAAGGAAGGCAGCAGGCGCGCAAAUUACCCAAUCCCGACACGGGGAGGUAGUGACAAUAAAUACUGAUACAGGGCUCUUUUGGGUCUUGUAAUUGGAAUGAGUACAAUUUAAACCUCUUAACGAGGAACAAUUGGAGGGCAAGUCUGGUGCCAGCAGCCGCGGUAAUUCCAGCUCCAAUAGCGUAUAUUAAAGUUGUUGCAGUUAAAAAGCUCGUAGUUGAAACUUGGGUCUGGCUGGCAGGUCCGCCUCACCGCGUGUACUUGUCCGGCCGGGCCUUUCCUUCUGGAGAACCUCAUGCCCUUCACUGGGCGUGUUGGGGAACCAGGACUUUUACUUUGAAAAAAUUAGAGUGUUCAAAGCAGGCCUUUGCUCGAAUACGUUAGCAUGGAAUAAUAGAAUAGGACGUGCGGUCCUAUUUUGUUGGUUUCUAGGACCGCCGUAAUGAUUAAUAGGGACAGUCGGGGGCAUCAGUAUUCAAUUGUCAGAGGUGAAAUUCUUGGAUUUAUUGAAGACUAACUACUGCGAAAGCAUUUGCCAAGGAUGUUUUCAUUAAUCAGUGAACGAAAGUUAGGGGAUCGAAGACGAUCAGAUACCGUCGUAGUCUUAACCGUAAACUAUGCCGACUAGGGAUCGGG